GUCAUAGUGGCGGAAGGGUGAGUAAAAGUAUCGGAUGUACCCCGAGGUGGGGGAUAGGCAUGGGAAACUGUGCGUAAUACCUCAUGAUCUCGAAAGAGCAAAGCUACGGCGCCUUGGGAGCAGCGAUAUACCUAUCAGGUAGUUGGCGGGGUAAUGGCCCACCAAGCCGAAGACGGGUAGCCGGUGUGAGAGCACGGCCGGCCACAUCGGGACUGAGACACUGCCCGGACUCCUACGGGAGGCUGCAGUAACGAAUAUUCCGCAAUGCGCGAAAGCGUGACGGAGCAAUGCCGCGUGCAGGAUGAAGCGGUUUCGCCGUGUAAACUGCUGUCAGGGGCUACUAACUAUGAAGAGCCCCAGAGGAAGGACCGGCUAAUCUCGUGCCAGCAGCCGCGGUAAUACGAGAGGUCCAAGCGUUAGUCGGAAUCACUGGGCUUAAAGGGUGCGUAGGCGGGCCUGUAAGUGUUUUGUGAAAUCCCAUGGCUCAACCAUGGAAUCGCAGGGCAUACUGCAGGCCUCGAGGAAGCUAGAGGCCGGUGGAACGAUAGGUGGAGCGGUGGAAUGCGUAGAUAUCUAUCGGAACGCCAAAGGUGAAGACAGCCGGCUGGGGCUUUCCUGACGCUGAGGCACGAAAGCGUGGGGAUCAAACAGGAUUAGAUACCCUGGUAGUCCACGCCCUAAACGAUGCACAUUAGACCGAUGCGGCUCUGACGUCGUAUUGGUCGUAGAGAAAUUGCUAAAUGUGCCGCCUGGGGAGUACGGCCGCAAGGCUAAAACUCAAAGAAAUUGACGGGGGCUCACACAAGCGGUGGAGCAUGUUGCUUAAUUCGAAGCAACGCGAAGAACCUUACCUGGUCUUGACAUGUACGGAAUCCUUUAGAGAUAGAGGAGUGCCUUCGGGAACCGUAACACAGGUGCUGCAUGGCUGUCGUCAGCUCGUGUCGUGAGAUGUUGGGUUAAGUCCCGCAACGAGCGCAACCCCUGUCCUUAGUUGCCAGCACGUAAUGGUGGGAACUCUAAGGAGACUGCCGGUGACAAACCGGAGGAAGGUGGGGAUGACGUCAAGUCAUCAUGGCCCUUACGACCAGGGCUACACACGUACUACAAUGGUAGGGACAGAGGGUCGCAAUACCGCGAGGUGGAGCCAAUCCCAGAAACCCUAUCUUAGUCCGGAUCGCAGUCUGCAACUCGACUGCGUGAAGUCGGAAUCGCUAGUAAUCGCGGAUCAGCAUUGCCGCGGUGAAUACGUUCCCGGGCCUUGUACACACCGCCCGUCACACCAUGGGAGUUUGUUGCACCAGAAGCAGGUAGCUUAACCACGC
rnacentral:rRNA from 1 species